UACAGAGGGGGGCAAGCGUUUAUUCGGAAUUAUUGGGCGUAAAGGGCGCGUAGGCGGCUUUGCAAGUGGCGGGUGAAAUCCCUCGGCUUAACCGAGGAACUGCCUGCCAGACUGUGAGGCUUGAGACCGGGAGAGGUGAGUGGAAUUCCCAGUGUAGCGGUGAAAUGCGUAGAUAUUGGGAGGAACACCAGUGGCGAAGGCGGCUCACUGGACCGGAACUGACGCUGAGGCGCGAAAGCGUGGGGAGCAAACAGG
rnacentral:rRNA from 1 species